AUGGUUGUGAAUGACUAUGUCGAUGCUGG
rnacentral:piRNA from 1 species